ACGCACGCUGGCGGCAUGCCUAACCCCUGCCAGUCGCACGCGACCUUCGGGUCUAGUGGCGCACGGGUGCGUAACGCGUGGGAACCUGCCCUUAGGUUCGGAAUAACUCCCCGAAAGGGGUGCUAAUACCGGAUAAUGUCUUCGGACCAAAGAUUUAUCGCCUUUGGAUGGGCCCGCGUUGGAUUAGCUAGUUGGUAGGGUAAAAGCCUACCAAGGCGACGAUCCAUAGCUGGUCUGAGAGGAUGAUCAGCCACACUGGGACUGAGACACGGCCCAGACUCCUACGGGAGGCAGCAGUGGGGAAUAUUGGACAAUGGGCGAAAGCCUGAUCCAGCAAUGCCGCGUGAGUGAUGAAGGCCUUAGGGUUGUAAAGCUCUUUUACCCGGGAUGAUAAUGACAGUACCGGGAGAAUAAGCUCCGGCUAACUCCGUG
rnacentral:rRNA from 1 species